GGAAUGCGAGUGCCUAGUGGGCCACUUUUGGUAAGCAGAACUGGCGCUGCAGGAUGAACCGAAUGCCGGGUUAAGGUGCCCGAUGCCGAUGCUCAUCAGACCCCAGAAAAGGUGUUGGUUGAUAUAGACAGCAGGACAGUAGCCAUGGAAGUUGGAAUCCACUAAGGAGUGUGUAACAAUUCACCUGCCGAAUCAACUAGCCCUGAAAAUGGAUGGCACUGGAGCAUCGGGCCCAUACCCUGCCAUUGCUGGCAGUCGAGCACACAUUGAGAGGGGGACAGGAGCCUUCCCAAACCCACCACGGAUGCUACACCAUGACGAGUAGGAGAGCCACUAUGGUGAGUCUUGAAGCCUAUGGUGCGGGCCCGGGUGGAGCUGCCACAGGUGCAGAUCUUGGUGGUAGUAGCAAAUAUUCAAAUGAGAACUUUGAAGGCCAAAGUGGAGAAAGGUUCCAUGUGAACAGCAGUUGAACAUGGGUCAGUCGGUCCUAAGAGAUGGGUGAGUGCCAUUCUGAAGGGAUGGGCGAUGGCCUCUGUUGCCCUCGGCCGAUCAAAAGGGAGUUGGGUUCAGAUCUCCAAAUCCGAAGUGGCGGAGAUGGGUGCCACGAGGCAUCCAGUGCAGUAAUGCAACUGUCCCAGAGAAGCUGGCGGGAUCCCCAGGGAGAGUUCUCUUUUCUUUGUGAAGGACAUGGCUCCCUGGAAUGGGUUCGCCCCGAGAGAGGGGCCCAUGCCUUGGAAAGUGUCGCAGUUCCGGCGGUGUCCGGUGAGCUCUCGCUGGCCCUUGAAAUUUGGGGCAGAGGAUGUAAAUCUCACACCAGGCCGUACCUGUAUCUGCAGCAGGUCCCCAAGGUGAACAGCCUCUGGCAUGUUGGAACAAUGUAGGUAAGGGAAGUUGACAAGCUGGAUCCGUAAUUUUGGGAUAAGGAUUGGCUCUAAAGGCUGAUAGUUCGGCUGGGCACGAAGCGGGCUGGCAUGUGCUUGACUGAUGAGCGCUGCACCCCCCACACUGUGCAUCCCUCCCCAUAGCCCACGCUCCCCCUCUACCCUCGACACUCGUCCACUCGCAUGGCCAUCCCGGUACAAAGCCCGCUUACAUCUCCAUCUCUCUUCCCCUGCCCGGGGAGGGGGCAGCUGUGAUGGGGGUUUCCAGCGGCAGCUGGGGGUCCUGCGGGGCUCGGGGAUGGGAAGCAGGUCAGGCCCACCACAGGGGAACGGGGGGUCUGGCCACCUGGGGGGCCAGUGGUAGUGGCGACUCUGGAUGCAAGCCAGGUCCUUCCCAUGGAUUGCCCCAGCUGUGGCAGGCAUCGCGGCCGUACCCAGGGAGCCUGACGCGCCCCGGCGCACCCUGCCGCAGUUGGGGGUCCAGAUCUGGGGGCAACACUGGCUGGUGGUGCAGCGUGAGUGCUGGGCGUCCCCGCCCAUCGUCCCACUUGCCCAUCUCUCUCUCCCACCCCCAUUCCACCCUGUCCCAUGGUGGCAGACCACAUCGAUCCCCCCCUGCUGGGUCUGCCCCCGUGGCCGCAGUUCUGUGUGGCGCCUCGCCUCGGCCGGCGUCUAGCAGCCAAAUUAGAACUGGUGUGGACCAGGGGAAUCUGACUGUUUAAUUAAAACAAAGCAUCAAAAAGGCCCACGGCGGGUGUUGACGCGAUGUGAUUUCUACCCAGUGGUCUGAAUGUCAAAGUGAAGAAAUUCAAUGAAGCACUGGUUAAUGGGGGGAGUAACUAUGACUCUCUUUAGGUAGCCAAAUGCCUCGUCAUCUAAUUAGUGACGUGCAUGAAUGGAUGAACGAGAUUCCCACUGUCCCUGUCUACUAUCCAGUGAAACCACAGUCAAGGGAACAAGCUUGAUGGAAUCAGUGGGGAAGAAGACCCUGUUGAGCUUGACUCUAGUCUGGCACAGUGAAGAGACAUGAGAGGUAUAGAAUAAGUGGGAGGCCCCCAGUGCCCUCCCGCCCCCACGAGGGGGUGGGAUGGGGUCUGCUGGCCUUGAGGGCUGCCGGUGAAAUACCACUACUCUUAUCGUUUUUUCACUGAGCCAGUGAGGUGCAGGGCGAGCCCCAAGGGGCUCUCACUUCUGGCACCAAGCAACUGGCUGGCAUCAGCUGGGCACAACUCGCUCUGGGAACAGUGCCAGGUGGGGAGUUUGACUGGGGUGGUACACCUGUCAAAUGGUAAUGCAGGUGUCCUAAGGCGAGUUCAGGGAGGACAGAAACCUCCCAUGGAAUGGAAGGGCAAAAGCUCGCUUGAUCUUGAUUUUCACUACAAAUACAGACCAUGAAAAUGGGGCCUCAUGAUCCUUCUGACUUUUUGGGUUUUAAGCAGGAGAUGUCAGAAGAGUCACCACAGGGAUAACUGGCUUGUGGCAGCCAAGUGUUCAUAGUGACGUCGCUUUUUGAUCCUUAGAUGUUGGCUCUUCCUAUCAUUGUGAAACAGAAUUCACCAAGCGUUGGAUUGUUCACCUACUAAUAGGGAACGUGAGCUGGGUUUAGACCGUCAUGAGACAGAUUAGUUUUACCCUACUGAUGAUGCUGUAAGUUGCCAUGGUAAUCCUGCUCAGUAUGAGAGGA
rnacentral:rRNA from 1 species